UUCGAGAUACUGUCCUCUCGUGUCGAGUAAACCGCGCCGGUAUCCCCGAUUUCCUUCGUCGCGAUUCACGUCGGAUCUUCGCGUCCAUGACAGAGUUCGAAUCACGGUGAUAUUUCUUCUCCCGAUACGAUUAUACAAGGCGUAAUAAUGCUGGCUAUUUUAACGAGACGAGGAAAAGUGUGUAUACAUAACGUGACGUUUUGGAGUGGUCAGUGGAGUUGGUUGUCGAGUUUGAGCUAGGCAUUUCUCGUGUGACGGGAACGUGGAACGACGAUGAUUAUCGUUUCGCGAUCAACUACGAAGGAACGCCGUGUCCGAGGAGGAGUUCGUAUGCGACGCGUGGAUGGCUCGUUGCGCUCAAGAUCGUUCAAAGUUUCUUGGUUCGUAUAAUUAUAUCAUGUCAUGUACCUUCGAAGUGCUGUGGAAGGAUAUACGCGUAAGAACGAAUAUGCUGAACGGAGGAGUAGCGGCGCGAUUUUAGAUUUAUUUGGAACGUAUAUCAGGAAUCACGUGGUCGAGUGACGGGAGUAACGGUCGGCUAACGACUCGCCACUCUUUCCAAGUUUAAGAUUCGAUAGUGAACGUUCGGAUAGGAAAUGUUGAUCGGGAACGCCGUAUGUCUCAAGUAGAAGCUAUUUUCGUUUCGUUUCGUAUCCGCGUGCUAGAGACUCGAAACUGUCCACUGAUAUUUAUGAUGCUGUGCGACGCACGUAUAAACACAUACGGGAAGAUGUACUUAGGCACGGUGGCAAUGGCCUUUAAAGGGAAUAGGGCGACUCGAUCGCUGACGAGAGGCCGCCUAAACCGGAAAACGAUUACGAGUGUGUAAAUAGGUAUUGCUCCCUUCGAGGCCAGUUUGCUUUCUCGUCAGAACCAAACUAACGACGCGUUAUCGUCGUACAGCUGAAAGUGGUCGUGUGUACCUUGGCAGCCACAAGUGAUAACCGCGUUGUUAGCUGCAAAAUAAGCCGCGUGACAAACACACGCUCAACGAUAGCGACGAUAAGAAACGUUGUACAGCGGAUCAACCACGAGUUUGAUGCACUGCGUGGCGGACGUCUCCGAGUUUCCACGAUAACCUUGAUAAACUGAUCCAUAAAUCAACCGAUAACUAGAAACUUCGGUGAAACCGAAUUCCAAUACUUUCAAAGACGUUUCAGAAUCACUCGUUCCUUUAUAUCUUCCCCGCGUCGUUCAUUUUAUCGAAAUACCUCCGCUAGCAAAAUGAACGGACGCUGAUUUAAAAGAAGUCGAAAGAUCUGAAAUUUACUGCAAUCGAUAUAAACAAGAUUCAAACGCGAGCCUCGAUCGCCUAAUAUGACAAACACUUCCAAUUUCCUCCAAAAAUCACGACGCUUUUCCUCCAGUCACGAGCAUAUAAUCGCAGCGUGAAGAGCGCGUGACGCGUGCUGGCUACAUUACAAAGUCCUUCUGCUCCCCACUACCACGCGGUAUUUCUCGCGCAUCCCCUCCACCGACGAUAUUUCACCACCCCUACCAGGAACUCCGGCACAGGGCGAACAAGGACGAGGACGGACGAUCGUUUUCCGCACGAGACCGAGCGGAACGGAACACGUGCCGCGUCGGUGGGGGUGGAGGAGGAGCGAUAAAACUGGAGGGGAAACGUGGUGGCAGCACGACGAUAGGGGAAGUCGAGGACUCCCCACCAGUGGUUACCACUCCCCUUCCACCAACCAGGGGAGCGCGUUCUCCCCCACAUAACGGCGCUAACCGACGGGACCUUUGUUGCCCGCCACGCUCGAACGGUGUCCCGCUCGAGAGUUUGGACGCUGGUGCCGCCCAGCGGUGAUCGCAAGAACUUUCAAAACGCGAUGGUGGGGGACCCGCGGCUUGUAGCGGGGGAACCGUGGCGAUACGGUGGGGGUAGAACGUAAAGGAAUUGGUGGGGAUGAAUGCAGAGAACGGAGCGAGUACGAGGACGGGGGCAUGUUGCUCUCAGGACGCGCAGAACGUCAGAGUGGGACGAAAAGGACGGGUGUCUCUCGCUUUCUCGCUCUCUGUAUCUCUUUCUCUCUUUCUUCGUUUCUUUCCAUCAUUUGUCUCUCUCGCUCACUCCUCGUGGAGAGGCAGAGAAAGAGAGGCCGAUGGCGGGGUGAGAGCCGGCUUACUACGCGGCGAAACGCUACCACGGCGUUCAGUCGUCAGCGAUCAGACCGCCGGGCAGUGUGAACCUUCCUGGGCAGUCUCUUCAUCUACUACGCUCUUCCUCUGCUGUCCCUUCCUGAACAUGAAGCAGUAAUCAGCAUCUGGGAAAGCCGGAGUACAGCUUCCGUGAUCGGAUUUGCCUGAUCCGUUCUACGAUGGUCAUAGACUACCACGAUCUUGAAGAAACAUCACGCGUAAGGGAACCAUUGUAGAAGAAUUUACGCGAGAAAUCGCAUCCAGUGGUGAAAGAGAAGAUACGCGAUUGGACACGCCGAACGAAUUGCAGAAGGUUCAAGGAGACAGACUUGGUCUCGGACGAUUCCAACUCUGUCUCUUUGAAUCUACCCUGAUAGGAGAUUCGUCGCAACCGGUGACAAGCUAUCGAACGAUCCAAGUCUUCGAGAACGCUCGGCAGUCGUACGAUAGCCGUACUCGAAGCUAACAGAUGUUCAAGAAGAUCUUACUAAAUAAACGGUUGUCGCGACUGAAAUCACCAGAGACGAUCAUUGUGGGGGCAUUUAAAAUCGCAAAGAAUUCCAGAAGACGUUGGAUAUCGAGAAGUCGCUUCGACAACGCACAAAGAUGAUACGCAAGACUCUGUUCCAAAGCGCAAGAUUCUAAAUCCCAGCGGAAGUCGAUGUUCGCAAUGAAGUUUCGUUAUUCGAAAUUUCGACAUUCGGCGAGUGAACCAAAAGAAAAAAGAAACAAAUUGUCCCUUCGUAGUGAGAUUGUUGGGAAGACACGUAGGGCUCGUUCGAACGGUUUGUGCUCGGCCUCGCGUCGAGCCACGUGGUGUUCCGAAUCGCGCGAACGAUCUGCGCUUGAUAAUCUUCGGCACGUAUACGUUCACUUUGCGAAACCGCGGCCCGAAAAAAAAAAAAAAAAAAGGUGAAAACGAUGGCGAAUCGACGAGCACGACGAACCGUCGCAAUUCCGAUGAUCGGUGAAGCCGUUCGAGAGUAGAAUUUCCUUCGUUGCUCGUCAGAUAUGUGGUGCCGUUCGAUCGUUACGUAACGAGCAUCGAAUAAUGAAAAACCGUUCACGCAUUGGCGAGUCGUACGGCGAGAUUUUUGCACCGAACCGUUACUCCUAGUGCGGGAUAGUGUAAAUCUGUCGAGAAAGAUCGACCAUCCACCACGGAAGAAACAUAUGAAAAUGUGUGAUUAAAUUUGAAAUAAAGUAAAAGGCGAAGCAAAAAUAAUUGAGAAAAAGUGGAAGGAAUAGCAACACGAUGAUUCUUAUCGUCAACGAAAGUAGUUGAAGAGUACGAAGAAAACGUUACGCUUUACGGACGUGUUAGCAGCCGACGGCUCUUUCGCCAACAGAUCGUCACAAAUCACCGAUGAAGAACAAGUGAGGUGUGCUACGCUCGGUUGGAAGUGUGCUUGUUGCUUAGUGGCGGUAUUUGGUAAGGAUCCCCUUCCGUCAAAUUGACGGGAAAGUCGGAAGUGUCGAUUUCGAUCGCAGUGCACGAAUUCACGGUGAUGGAAUCGGUAAUGAAUUUUUUUUGAAAAUGUCUAUGGUCACAGUGAAGUGGUCCGUGAUUUAUAUUUUCGUUAAACGUUUCGUUCAAUUUGAAUUUUCAGUCGCACAUGUUUAAUAUGAUAUAUAGAUAUAAAUAAUCGAUAUAAUAUUUCAAGUUCGAAGAGUAAAGCAGAAGAAUCAGACGUUUGAUCGACGAAUUUUAAAGGAGUGCUUUCUAACGGCUAACGAUUGCGUAAAAUUUGAAAAAAUACCUGGUAUCUACAAAACCGUGAGCGGUCUACGGUUAAAAAGUUUCCCCAUAAAUUCGUCACUGUCAGAGAAAUGAUAUACGCGGACUGAAAUCUCGUCGAAUUAUCUCGUUCCACUUAUCAGGGAAUACUUCCAAACAAACCACGGUCUGGCGGCCACGCCCCGUUCUAAAAAUCUCCCCUUUGAACAAACUACCAAAAAACAGGACGCACAGACACCCGGCUAUCUCGAAAAAAGUCCACUUAUCUCCAUUUACACUGCAUCAACGGAUUCUACAAAAAUCAUUGCUCCACCUCCCGCGGGCAAUAAAAGUAUCUACACUUCCGUUCCAACUACCCCCUAGACACCGUUCUCACCGUCGUCACACGGGAGGUCCCUAAUGACCAACCCAUACUUCUCUCUCUAAACUCUUCCACCAAACGCUCAACGUGUAACAAUAACAAGAAAGAACGAAAAGCAGAUAUACAAGAACUAUAAAUCUAAUAUCUUUUCAUUUUCCAAGAUACAUUGAAAUAUUUCCAGUUGUCUAUGUUUUUUACCCUUCGACUAAUGUUCUAUUAUACAGGCUACUACGAUUUAAUGACUGCAUAGUCUUGAUUGAACGGAGAAAAGGAAAGACGAUGCAAACAGAGACAAAUCAAUUUCAAAGAUGUAAAACAUCGUAGAAUUUACUUUCAGCAGAAGUAAAUGAAUCGGUGCAUUGAAAAUGAUCCGAAUAAAGAACUUGUUAUACCUAAUUGUGAGAGAGUCAGGAACCAAAGUGAGACAGAUGAACUCUUCCCGGGUUAACAGGUUUAUUAUGUUUAUGAAAAUAUGAAUUUGCAUAAACAACCGUUCCUUAUCCUUCGAACGCACGAAUUAAUUAUCGAAGCAGGUAUUCUGUAUCUCGAAUCCAUUACCUCUUCUCGUGAUCCUCAGAAAUUCUCAUCCAUUCAGCCCCCCCCCCCCCGAUGGCACCACUGGUACCAUUUAAAAAGAAGAAUGUCCUAUAAGAAUACUCUAAAAUGAACGAAAGACAGGCAACAGAGAGGAUACUAAAAAGAGAAACAAAAAAAGAAAGGAAGUGUAAAGAAAAGGGAAGAUGUUUUCGCGCUUCGAGGGGUGGUUGGGAAGGGUCUGUUACGUCACCGAGAGGAGCGAGGCGCCGAAGAAUCCAGCAAGACGAUACGGCCCUGCCCUUCGCCGGGCAGAUAGGGUAUAAUCAUGGCGAGUUUCGUAUCUCGAAGGGGCACACGGGAAGAUGGUCCAACAUCUGCCGCUGCAGGGAAUCUCUGCCCACAUGCUGGCCGUCGUGCACGUACGUACGCACGCACACGCGCAAAAAGUGACAUAGCUACACGCUGGGACGUCAUGUAAAUUCAUUCGAAACACAUGGCAGGGCCGAGGCGGCGUUUUUCUCGUGCGCGCAAAAGGGUUCUUCCUCGGUGGAAUCCGAGGAGCGCCGCACGGGGGGCUCCGGGUAAAAAAGGCAGACGAUAACUUCGACUUUUAGACAAGGACCACUCUCUCUCUCUCUCUUUCUCUUUCUCCUUACCUUCUCUUUCGCCUUCUCGACCUCUGUCUCUGUUACGAGGGACCACCGGUUCGAAUGAGUCCACCGGUUAGCCGCUUCUUUUUUAUUUAAUCGCCUGGAUCAUCCAGUGCUCGGGGUGUCCGAUGCUUUGCAAUUUCGGCUUAGCGAAAAUUUAGAGGGUAAAAGCUUCUCUUGAGAUAUGAUUCACCUUGGAGGGUGGUGGCUAUUGGAUUUUGUAUCGGGGUAUUAUGUAUGAGAAUCCUACUGUUGUUCUAAAAAUAUGGCGAGAAAUUGUGGAAACUAUUUUUACGAAUUCUGUAGACAAGUAAUAAAUCAAGGAUAUGUUGGAUUAAAUAGGUCAAAGUUCGAAUCUGAUUUAUAGGAUUGUUUGUAGCGAGCAUGAAAAUACAGCAUCUAAUAGAUAUAACUAAGAUCAGUCGCGCAAUGCUGUUGAAGGUGUAUUUACGCGAGAAGUAUUUUUGGAACGAUUUCAAAGAGAGUACUAAUCACAAAUAGGUAUGGGAGACGUAUUAAUCGGAGCUAGCGACGACCGUUUUCCCUUUCUGAUUAGAUUUUUAAUAAACAUCAGACGAUCUUCUCUAAUUAACUUACCAUUAAAAGUAAGCACACGAUACAAUCAUUAAAUCGAAUAGUGUGCAAUUACAUGUACAAGCAUUAAGACAAUUAGCUUCAACGAAUUAUACAUCUCAAUAUCAAACUCAUCAUGGAAUAAAAAAAUUUCUUAAAAGAUCCACUAGAAAUCGUAAUAAAAUACAGUAGAAAUCGUAACGAGAUCUAACGAAAGAUCUAAUUGGCCUAUCCAGUGAUUUUCUUUUAACGAAUCUUCGAUCUGAUUGUUCCGCGACGUUAAAAGAAGAAAUAAAGGAAACCUAAUAAAAAAAGACCUAAUAAAAAAUAGAAUCACCGAUGUAAAACGCAGAGAAAGGAGCAAGUAAACCAACAAGGAAUAAAAAUACACCGGCUCGAAAUAACAGGGCAUUCGGGUAACGAGUGUUCCCUCGUCUAACGAGGGUUCCGUGGAAAUCGUUAACGGGGUAAUUCUCGCGUUCCGCGGCUAAUUACACGCCGAAACCAUGAAAAUUCCACCGCUCUUGAUUCAUUAUGCUGCCACGAAGACAAUAAUGGAUCGCCUUUUGUUUUCGAUUCGUCAAGUUCAAAACCGGGGGAAUUUCGAUCCGGCUACGAGAUAGGCUGGCUCGUUGAAACGUUAACCGCCGCGCCGGAAAACCGCGGCAAGCGGAAAAAAAAGAGAACCAGAGGUUAGAUAGACGGAACACAGGAAAACGAUGGAAAAGAAGGAAAGAGAUAUACGAACAACGUGUACAGGGAGAGGGACUGUGUGAUGAAGGGGGAGAGAAGAGAGAGAGAGAGAGAGAGAGAGAAAAGAAGAGAGACAGGGAAAAUAGGAGUAAGCUCGCCGCGCGCGGAAUUGCAGAACUGCCUUUAAUUAAAGCCAUCAAGCUAGUUGAACAAUUAUCAUUAAUUAUGGACGUUGCUUGGCCGCUCACACGAGCCGUCCUCGUCGUCGUGGCUACCUAGAGAGAACGGUUUCACUUCGUUCGCGUGCACGGCGUCAAUUUGAAAAGAGGUGGUUGUAAGAGGAAAGAGGGAACGAGAAAGGAAAAAAGAAGAAGAGAGAUAAAAAAUGAAUACACGGGAGAUGGGGAAGGAAAGGGAAAGAAGUACACACGGCCCUGCCCUCAUGAUGUAUUUUCAUCGACGCUCUACUUUGUAGCGUCUUCCUCCUCUUCCUUUUCUUCUUCCCCGCUCCCCCCCCCCGCUUUUUCCUUUACCUGUUAGUCUCAGUAACUGAUUUAAGAGGUACAGUCCAAUUUGAGAUAGCUAGCAAGACGAUUUUUACCGCUAAUUAAAGGUGCGUUAAUUAAAAAAGUACAGCCCCUGGUUUCAUGCUCGAAUCGGCCUUUGAUCGCUUAUAAAUCGUUGGAUCAUUAGCCAGCUCGGUUGCUCGCGGACGAAGAAAACCCUUUUGCGGUUCGUGCGCGACGAUCAAACGCGGGAAGAAUAGACGAUUCUUCUUUGAUUCCCUCUUUAAGCGGUGUGAAACAAUAGUACGUACGGAGAAUAGGGAAGAACGAGAAGAAGGGGAGAAGAAUAUUCCGUCAGAAUUCAUGGUCUUGAGAAAUACAACGAUUGUUCGGAGGCGUUUAAAAUUCUUUGAGAUUAGGGUUGAGAAAUCGUCGGCGGUAGAUUCUUUCCACGAGCGACGAGAAACAAGCGUAAAAAAAAAAAAAAUUGUAUCAUAAUAAAAAUGACGAUUUACGUUCCAUGUCAUUGUUAUAAAAUUGGGGUCAAUGAUUUCAAUGAUCUACGCACUUCGGGCACGUUUUCUCGUAUCUUAACGACGUAAAAUAUCACUGAAGAAUGUUAAUCUGAUGUUUUCAAAGCUAUACAUAUAUUUCGAGUUUGUCUUGCCACAAUGGAAAUAAAGAAUGAAGUGGACUCUAUUAGAUAGGAGUUAUUACAGCAUCUGCUUAUUGUUAUAUUUUAGAAGAUUCUGACUGAACGAAUCUUCUCUAUUAUUCGAAAGCAAUUUUAUUCGUUGGACUAAAAUGUGAAAAAUUUUCUUAGAUUUUCGAAUCUUUAUGUGUUAAGUUGGUUACUUUGGUUAGCUCGAAAUCAUUCUAAAGUUAAUAUACAAUAUUAGUUUUCAUGGUAUUAUAUUUAUCUUCAUAGUUAGCCGUGUUAUUUUUAUAGCUAAAUAAAAACAGAAAUAGAAUAUAGAUAUCCUAUUUUGCAACAGCAUAGCGCAAUUUUUCUUCUAUUUCUAGCUCUAAACCGUAAAGAUAAACUUGUCCUAAUUCAUUAAGCGAUAAUCACAGUCAUAAAAAAGCUGAAACAACACGCUAGACAAAGUUUUCUCCUUCGAUGGUAUCUCACUGUUUAUCAUCGUUCUCUGUGUCUGUAAUAAAUAGAUUCAGACAUACACCAUUAUGUGCAUGUAUAGCCUUUAACCUUUACUCGAUGCUAGGGUAAAGUAUCAAUUUACUUUUCCUUCAAACGUCACCCAGAGAAUAUAAAAUGAAGUAUCUACAUUUACCCAUUAUGCCAACUAGUCUUCAACGAUCGUUAACAUGGCUUAAGAACACCUUACUCUUGAAAAUAAAUCUUCCCUUGUCCGAUUAUAGUUAUUUUACUUCUCUUUUCUAUAUUUGAGUGCAUUAAUUGAGAGAUUUAACAAAGAAAUGAUAUAAGCGAACAGAUUUUUUUGGAACAGCGGAAAAAUUUGUAUACUUCUCAUUACUUCAUUCACGAAAUUACGAUUAACAAUACGAAUUAUGCUGUUACACGAGAAAAAUUGAGAAAAUAAAUUGCCGAUGAGAAUAUUAAAAGAAAGCGAAGAUACUUGAAUUGAAUCUAACUUCGAAUUUAAUUGAAAAUCGGUUUCUUUAGAAUUCAAAAAUCCAAGGGAAAAACGUACAGGCGAUACAAUUUUUAACUUGAGAUAAAUUCUCUAGAUACCUAAACAUAGAUACUAGAAUAAUCUAAAAAUAAAAAAUCUACAUAUCUUGGACACUGCCAUACGCACUUAUAAAUCUUUAAAAACUCAGAACAAAAUCCUCUAAAUAAGCAUAGAUAUCACAUAUUAACAUUUCCCCCUAUUUAUCUCUUCUUACAAAAAGAUAUAGAUGUAGCAUUUUUUCUUGACAGAAUUCUUUAUUAAUAGUGCAUUUCUCCAAUAACCAGAGAUUAAAACUACAGAUACUUUCGUUUCCUCAACACGCUCACAGAAUAGUCACGAUUUCUAAAAAGAAAGAUAAGAGACGAAACGGGACGAAAAACAAGCUUCCCUAACAGAGAGAAGUCCCUAAAAAAGGCUCGGUGGCUGACCACGGCUAAUCUUCUCGCGCCCCAUAAUUAAUUACGCGUUAUCUGGAACAGGUCUCGAUUACGGCGUGUGUCUUAACGGGACAAUGGUGAACGGGGUCCCCGAUAAUGGGCCAGAUAGCGUGUCCUUAUUAGGAAAAAUUUAAGGUUCGAGCAGCGUGUUUACGAGCUGGCCCGGCGUUCGGCCCGCGCCAACGACAGAAACCGAGCCAUAUUUCUCCAUGAAAUUUAACGAACCUCUGGCGCAAUGGGACACCAUUAAAAAAUUCCUCAGCGUCAUAUGCCAUCGUGCACGCAACUCCGAUAAACGCCGCCGGGCGAACGCAGGCUGACUACAGAGUAAACGAACAGGAAUGAUAAUAUUACCAGACGUUUCACGCAAGCACCUUUACAAAAGUGCCAUCGGUGAAAAAAACUAAUUUAUUGGACGUGUAGCAUAAUUGUAAGCAGGACCGAUUUAUGAGGCCGUGUACGCGUGUCCCGUUCGAUACCUUGCACAUCGGACACGCUGCGUGAAAGAGCUCCCGCUACGAAGUUUCGCGAUAAUUUUCUGUUUUGAUAUCCAUGUUUUGAUUCUCGUCCCUUUUCUUUUGUUACUAGCGAAGGAAAGUGGAAAUUGUUUAUGGGUAAUAAUGGGAACUUCCAUAGGAUAGUAAGAACAGCACGUUUGGAGUUAUAGUCAGAAACGCGGAGAAUUUUAGUUUAGCGCUUUGACAAAUUUUGGUUCAAUGACGUGAUUAUUACUUGCUACAAAAGAUGUCUAUUAUUUGUUAAUCGAUAAUUUUUCUUAAAAUUGUAAGACAAUCGCGAAAUUCUAGGUGUUAUUGAUACUGUACUUAGAUUUUUAAGAAAAGUAUACAAAAUUUAAUUUUGCUCGCGAUUGAUCCUAUAUCUAAAGAUUCGAAAUAUGUCGACCAAUAUCAGGAAAAGGCAAGAACACUGUUUCUUGUAUAAAAUAGUUUCUUCUCUAUAGAUUCACCAUUUUUCUGUGAAUACUAUUUCUCUUCUUACUAUUGUCAUUAAAGCUUCAAAGAAAAUAUGUUGAAAAAGAUAAGAAAAAUAUUUCUUAUACCAAAUAGUUUCUCUAUAAAUCCAUUAUUCCGCUAUAAAUAUCAAUAACCUUCUUCGAUAAUGAAGAGAUAAAGAUACACCUGUAUUAUGACAGGAUAUAAUAUUUCUUAAAAUAUUCAUGAAAAUUAUUAUUUUAGAUCUCCCUCGAUAUAAACGAAGAACGUAAAUUUUCGUAACAUAGUCGGACGGACGUUUCAAUUAUUUAAGCUGACAACGAGCGCACUCGGCCGAAAGAGUUGAGAAACUCGAAAGUGCAUUUCGUGCACGUAACGAACUUAAAUAGACGGAUCGUGUGCACCGGUUGGCCCGCGAGUAUUAUCAGAUCAAUAAUUGCCAAGGAGGGCCGAACUUGCCGAACUUCGGGCCGCGUUUCAAGCUAAUUCCUGCCUAUCAGACCCGUGUCUGUCACCCGUAGCCUUCUUGGAAGGAAAAAACGAGAAGUUGGUUUCGCGUCACGGGGGAAAAUACGGUUGCCACGUACCUAGGUUGAGACGAACCUCGGGAAUUAAAAUCAUGAAAAAUAAAGAUUCCAGAUGGAUUGAAAAGACACGUUUAAAUAGCGAAGCUAUAUAAAAUAUUUAAAGUUCGAGUGAAAAAGUCGAGAAAUUUGAAGAGUAUAAGGGAAUCAUCAAAGCUGCAAAACCAGUGUAGCUUGUACGUAACCAAAAUUCAUGUUAAAAAUUUUCUACAGACAUAUUUCGACAUAUAUUUCCAUAAAUUGUAUAUAUCAAUUAAAAAACGAUGAUAUCAAACCCAUAUAAGGUUAUUCUUUAAGAAGAAAAGCACGCAAUAUUUUAAAUUUAUGAAACAUUAAUUUCCUAUCUUACGAUGAGCUUCAGAUAACGUACAUUCACUAUAGCUCCAUUACUACAUAUAUUAUUUCAUCCUCUGUGCAUCGUGCCGAGUACAUUACAAACAUUAAAUGAAUAUUUUGUACAUUCUUAUAUACUAUAUACAUUCUAUAUAAUUUUACACGUUUCAAUAUUCCACGUUCGCAUAAACGCAGUCUAUUCGUUAUACUUACGCGUAAAUAAGAAGCGAAGAAAAAAAAAACGAAUAUUUCGUAAAUGAAAUAACUACUACAAGUCGGCGACUUAUUAUCCAGAAGGAAAUUCUUCGCGAAGUUAAAUUAUAAUCUCCAUUCGAACCACCGAAGCUUAUUGACUAUACAUUGAACAAAAACUCGAAGUACCCUACGUCGAUGAAUAUGAAGGUAUAAUCUCUCAGCGAAAAAAUACUGGCAAGGCGCAACACAAUGGUACGAAAAAACGACCUCCCGCGUUAAAGGGGUUAAAAGGGACGAGCAGCACGUAUUUCUACGAUCGUGCCGGGCAACAGGAGGAGCAAAAUCGACGACGUUUCGCGCAUAAUUAAGCAGUUCUUGCGGGCGUAUUUCAGGGCCGCGGUGACGUCUCUAUCCCAUGCGGCUCGCUCAUAUCGCGGCGUUUACUCGGAUUUACAUCGCGCAUACAUAUGUAUGGAAGAAACUACGAUUUGUAUCGUCACGUUGGCCAAUUAAGGGGCCGGGGUCGUUAACGAAGAGAAUAAUUAGAAAGCGUUGGCAAGCCGACCGGUGCGGUGGACGACGUGGUGCACGUCCACCUCGCUUUUCAGCUUCUUUUUACUUUCUCGGCUUGGCUUGGCAUCGCCGCGAGCCACGUUGGUACAUGAAAGAAAGAAAGGAAGAAAAAAUCGUAGAGGAAACGAGCGAGAAAUGGGAGGGGGAGGGGAAAUAAGAAUGAAACGAAAAAUUCGCGCUCAGGUUCUAUAGGUGGUGUAAAGACACGGGGAAUUAAUAUGUCUACCACGUGUAUUUGCAUUCGAAAUGCCUGAAUAUGAAAUGGACGCGCCUCCAGGCGGUCAUGGAAUAUCCGAGAAACGGGCAAUUAAAAGGGGGUAAUUGGAUAGAUUCCUUUUCGUAGGACCACCCAGUGCAUAUGUGUAUUAUCCGCCGUUUCUUCCCGCGAGUAUAAACUGUUAUAGAUGUUUGAAUGCUUCACAAAACAAAUUAAUUGUAAUACAAUGUACACCUGCGAUCUUAUCUGGGCAACUAUAUGCAGUUGACACACUUUGAUGAAAAUAAUGGAUAAUAUUAAGUAGCGUAAAUAUAAUACCAAUAAUUCAAGAUCAAUGAAAAUUGAUUUUGCAGAAACAACUGAGUCGAGUGACUUUAAAUGGGUUUGCUCACUGCUGGGAUCUUCGAACGAUUAAAAUGUUCAUCCAUGCUCUUUACAGAAAUUUUGUGAAAUGCUAUACGUUCAAUAAUGUUCAAUAAUAAAACUGACUUUUGUUAUUAUCGAACCUUAUAGGAAUAUUUUGCUACGUGACAAGCAUUUUGUCUUUAGAUUUCUGAGUGUUCGAAUUAUAAGUCGGAUUAAAAAGAAUCUUUUAGAUACAGAAGGACUCAUCGGGUAAUGCAACUAGUCAUAUUUAAAUAAUAACUAUAUAUAGUAACAAUGGGUAAUUUAAUAUUACUGGCAUGACAACUCCAACUCGACAAGAGGAUAGUGAAAAUUAUUUCUAAUUAUUAAUUCGUCAUUGAUAAUCUGUAUUCUUUGGUACCACUCGCAUACUGUUAUUACAAAUCGAUCAAAGUGUCCGGACACUUAUGCUCAAUACUGCUUGAGAAUUACUAAAUAUCUAGAAAGGCAGUUCUUUAUGAAUUACGUAUAAUUUGGUUCGAUUGGUGAUGAAAGAUAUGUACGAAUUGUAGCGACGAGUUUAUUAUAAUAUUUUAGAAGGGUAGGAAAUUGUUACUUCAGAGUCUGCUUUACGAGUUAUUUCUUUGUUCAGACUGCCGGAGAUUUUAAUUUUGAUUGGUUCGCGCCGCGAUGGUUAAUUACUUCCUCGAGAAGGAUUUUAAUUAGUUAUGGACCUCUUUCGACGGAUACAAUUUCAUAGUUUCUUCCCUUCGAAUCUAAUCAGAAUCUAAUUUACCCAGUCUAUUACAUCCCCUGACAUCAAACUGUGAUUUUCUAACAAACGCCAGUUGCUUGACUGAUUAAUAUCACUUUUUACGCGUCUCCAAGCUCAUUUAUAGUUUUACGUUAUAAAAUGAUUAACUAUAUGCGAAGAACGUGUUAUGUAAAACAUAUUACAAUAUAUAUAAAACUACGAAGGACAUGUUAUAUAAGAUAUACCAAGUUUUUCGCUUCUUGCUUAUUAUUCGAACAGUAUCAAAAAACAUCGCGAACAACAAACCUACAGCAGAAAAAUUGUGCGCAGUGUCGCGUGAAUAACAAUCAAAAUCCUUUGAUUUGUCCGAGCAGAUUCUCUGAAUAAAUCACUCUAAAUCAUGCUUCUUACCUGUGAUCGGGAAAAAUUACCCGUCGUUAAUUUUCACCUAGGUCUUUCAAACCUACCGUCAACUAUUGUAAAAUGAAAUUGCGAUACAAUUGCAUUUCUUCUCCACAAAAUCCACCGUCAGAUAUACACACGUAUACUACCAUUUUUAAGCAUACGGAGAUUCGAGACGAUUUUAAUUAAUGAUCCAUGAAUUUUAGCGAAACAAUAAUAAAUGAGAAGUUAAAUACACAGAAUUUAGAGAGAUGUUAAUUUUUAAAUAUUAUUGCUGAUAUUAAUCACCAUAGUCCGUCAUUUCUAACUUUAACAAAACGUGCCGAGGAUAAUCAAAAGCCAAAAUACCAUAUUAUCUGACGCAUAGAGACGCAAUUUUUUGCAUUAAUAAACAGCUUUAAUAAACGUUGUACUCGUCCUGAAUUUUGUAAUUUCAUAAUUAAAUCACGUUCUAUUCAAAAUAACUUGCGUUCACAUAAUUUUGAGCGGUACUGUACACACAAUGGAUUUUUCUGCUCCAAAUACUAAAAUACCAUCGAUCAGAUUCACGACUGUUGCUCGACUACACGCGACUUUACAAAAAAAAAAAAAAGCCAGCAUGCACGGCGAAUUAAUCGUCUCGAUGGUCGAUUCGCGGGCCGGGGAUCGGAUUUGUUGUUUUCACCGGUGGUGCAGAUUUUUUUCCCUGCCGGAGACACGUUCGCGAAUUAAUGGUGAUGGUAGUAGUGGAGUGGCGGUAGCGGGGAGGGAAUCAAGCGAGGGGAAAAAAUUUGAUAAACCGCGCCUCUGCGGUGGCUUUUUUUCCCUCUACUCUCUGCCUCUCUCUGUAAACCGGCCAGUUGAUAUUUGCCAUGAAAAUCGUUCCGCAUGUCGGCAAACAGAACGCCACCAUGCGUUGAAUCGCCUGAAAAUAUAUUCCGAUUGGUCGAUCGGUGUUUCCCGAAAUCGCGACCCGAUAAAGAGCAGCGGUGGAACGAAAACGACGAGGGGAGAGGAAAAGAACAAAACAGAAAAAAAGAAAAAUAUGCGAACACCGACACGAUUUUCGGAGGCUGUAAAAAACACGUGUUUGCACGAGGAGCCGCGGUUGGGCCCCGAUCAGAUGGCUACAGGACUGAUUUGCAUGCGACCUUUGCCUCCAGGUGUUCCAGAAUUUACAUACGAAAGGGUGGCGCUCACAGAUUUCUCCCCCUCCUGGAUCCCAAUUUCUUUCUCUUUCUCUCUUCUCCGUUUCUCUUCUCUCGUUUCGUCUCCCUCUGUACCUCUAUCUUCCGCUUUCAUUCUCGCAUUCUCUCUCUUGUUCCCUCCACGACGGCUCUGUUCAACCCCCGGUGUACGCAUUUAUGGGUUACUGGCUCAGCGUGUCGCGUCGUUAACUCGCCGUUAAAUUUUCGUUAACGUCGCUCUUUAACCGGUAAGCAUUCGCCGGCUGGAUGGAAAUUACGAUCGACGGAAAUUAAUAGCAAGUUUCGUACAAUGUUUCCACGUCGAUGUUCAUUAUACAUGUAGAGUAAAAAGUAAAUUUGCGUUGAUGUUUUUACAUGUGGAACAUUAUGCAAGUAAUGUUCUCGAUGAUAUAGUUGGACGAGACUGUAUUUGCCAAGUCACUGAUAUUUAACACAAUGCUGCAUAUAAAAUGGAAAUUCUUUCGCAUUAAAUGCACUAAAGAUGUCCGAUUCGAUAGAAUUAUAUUUGAUCAACUAUCGAAAGUCGAUUAUAAUACUGGCAGCCACUUGAUGUUCAAAGAUAUUCAAUUUGUGGAGAUGACACUUCUCCGUAAUCGAUUACUCGUUGAAUUUAGUUUCCGUCAAACAUACGAUUGAAGAGAGCUUCGAACAUUUCUACGAUAUUUGUUGUAGCAGUGUGUGACUCCGUACACAAGAGCACAGAAGCUUCAGUUACUCGAAGAAAAAGAAAAAAUACUCAAGAGCCGCGGUAAAUUUACACAAGCAAAUUUGAUCUAUCAAGCGAACUACCUUGCUUCGAAGCAAAUAACUUCUCAUCGAUAUUCAUAUUUCGAUUGAAUUUCAAGAAUUCAAGUUACAUAAAGAAAGAAGAAAACAAAGCUAUUAGAUGUAAAAUAUAUUCGUGACAAACCGGCUGAGGCAAUAUUUUUUAUCGAAAAUGAUCCAACUGUAACCAGUCGCAAAAAAAUUCCUGCUCUCGGCUGAAACGAAGAAAACAUACGCCGACGUAGGCGGAUUCCGCGAAUAGUUCGCGAGCGGAACGACGAUUGAACGACUGAAAGGCCGUUAUAAAUUCAAUCACGCGCACGCCGGGCCAGAAACGAGCAAACUGAAAAGAGUCCCAUGCAAUUACUUGUGAUUACGGAUCGGUAUCGCGCGCGAUCGAGGCCGCGGCGAAUAUCGUUCGCGUGGCACGUAACGAGCGUUUCCACGCGAGCCAUUGAUUUAUUUAUCUCGGAACGCGAGCGUAGAUCGUGUUUAUCGUUCAAGAUUAUCCAUCUCACGUCGAGGCGGAAACCGUUUCCAGCUAAUCGCAUUAUUGUUUUGUGGACAUGUCGAGUGUUACUACGUUACUCAAACAACAGACGUGUAACAAAAAAAAAAAAAAGAAAGAACUUUGAAGAAUUAGAUUCUUUAAGAGUGAAAGUUCUUUAAAAUUCUAUUAGAUCCUAGAAGAGUGACAUUGAUUUACCUUGUUUAUCGCCUUCUUAUUUUUUUUUUUUUUUUUAUCAAAGCGCCCGAUUCUCGGAAUAUCGAGUCGCGAUUUUUUCCGCCGCUCGUCCCGGGAGUCCGAUUGCACAGUGCCACAAGUAAAUGACAGUCUUGUCACGAGACGGUUUGUUUUUCUUUAAAUUGUCGUUUUCUUGCCGACUGACAAUGAGGUAGUUGCAGUUCUUCGAAAUGCACAUUAAUCGCGUGCAAGCAUGCUCCGAUUUCUUGCCUCUACUUUCUAAUUUACUUUUUCAAUCUGCAACUGGUUAUUCGAUGUAUCGGAAAAUUAUAUAGGCAAGUUUAAUGUGUACACUUGCGCGUCUCGUAAAUUCUCCUUUUUCUGAAUAUGGAAUUCGCGAUACAAGAGUAUAGAGUACUUAUUAGAUACGUGAAUGAAUGUUUGAUUAUAGUGGAUAAAUAAUUGUUUUAAAAGUGCAGGUAUGGAUAAUGACGAUUCUUUCUAAUGAAUCACAGCGAACAAAUUUAGGAAUGAAGGCGGAAAUAAUAUAGCAGUUAAGUCUGAAACAAUACCGAUUUCGACUACUGUCGCUCUAACUUCAUGGAAGUUGUAAGAAGGAUUUUUCUAUUUGGCGUGAUAUUACAAUGUCUAAUCGUGAAACGGGCUAUCCACUAAUUCAACAAGAAUAUUGAAAAUAUCGUUAUAAACUGGUAGCUCGACGAACUUCUCAUGCGUCUAUAAAGAAAUAAUCGUUUUUCUUUUUAUCGUCCUGAUUCGCGAGGUCACAAGAUCUCAAUGCAAAAUUCCUUUACAUCAGCUCUAUUCAUACUCCCUCAUCGAUAAGAAAAUAUUUUCUUCCGAACAACAAGAUCAGCAGCUGCAGAAUUCCGCUUAUCGCGGUCCUCCUUUCUCCUCCUUCUCAGAAUCAUCCGAUCAACUCAAUCUUCCAUACAUAUAGGAAUCAGAUUUUCAUAAUUAGACUAUGAAUAUUUAUAUGUUUGUGAAACAUUUCGAUUCUUUUUCUGUACAAAAAAGAAAAGAAAGAAAUAAACGCACAGAACAACAUGUUGUAAAUUCGCAGUAAAGUACUCGCUAGAAUAUCGAAAGACAAAAAAUUCCUAUUUAUAUUUCAUUUGUCAGUUGCGCUUAUAAAAAUCCAACUAGCGGAAACACUGGUAAACUAUUCGCAAUAUAUCCUCGAGCUAAAUAAUAAUAACAAAUAUAAUUAUUCAGACUGGUUAAAA